rnacentral:rRNA from 1 species
UGGGUAACCUGCCCGGAUGUGUGGAAUACCUCGGGGAAACUCGAGCUAAUACCGCAUGACAUCUUCGGGACGAAAGUCCUGAUGAUCAAAGCGGGGUCGCAAGAUCUCGCGCUUCCGGAUGGGCCCGCGCCCGAUUAGCUAGUUGGCGAGGUAACGGCUCACCAAGGCGACGAUCGGUAGCCGGCCUGAGNGGUNAUCGGCACAUUGGAACUGAGACACGGUCCAGAUCCCGUACGGGG